GACAGAGGAUGCAAGCGUUAUCCGGAAUGAUUGGGCGUAAAGGCGUCUGUAGGUGGCUUUUUAAGUCCGCCGUCAAAUCCCAGGGCUCAACCCUGGACAGGACGGUGGAAACUACCAAGCUGGAGUACGGUAGGGCAGAGGGAAUUUCCGGUGGAGCGGUGAAAGUGCGUAGAGAUCGGAAAGAACACCAACGGCGAAAGCACUCUGACGUGGGCCGAACACUGACACUGGAGAGACGAAAGCUAGGGGAGCGAAUGGG
rnacentral:rRNA from 1 species